UAUGCACCCAAACCCAAAGGUCAUGUCUAUUUAAUGAUAUGAUUUUGUCUGGUGUGCAAAUAGUAAAUUGUUCCUUGUCGCCUUUCUCUGUUGCUACUUCUGUGCCUUUGAAAGUGAAUUCAAGGAUCAACAUAA
rnacentral:snoRNA from 1 species